AUUGAACGCUGGCGGCAGGCCUAACACAUGCAAGUCGAACGAGUGGCGGACGGGUGAGUAAUGUUUGGGAAACUGGCUGAUGGAGGGGGAUAACGACGGGAAACUGUCGCUAAUACCGCGUACCAUCGGAUGAGCCCAGAUGGGAUUAGGUAGUUGGUGGGGUAAUGGCUCACCAAGGCGACGAUCCCUAGCUGGUCUGAGAGGAUGACCAGCCACACCGGAACUGAGACACGGCCCGGACUCCUACGGGAGGCAGCAGUGGGGAAUAUUGCGCAAUGGGCGCAAGCCUGACGCAGCCAUGCCGCGUGAAUGAAGAAGGCCUUCGGGUUGUAAAGUUCUUUCGGUGAGGAGGCGUUAAUCGCAGAAGAAGCACCGGCUAACUCCGUGCCAGCAGCCGCGGUAAUAC
rnacentral:rRNA from 1 species